rnacentral:rRNA from 1 species
UUAAGCGAAAAAGAGCGCAGGGAGGAUGCCUUGGCACUGAGAGCCGAAGAAAGACGUGAUAAGCUGCGAAAAGCCAUGGGGAGCUGCAAAUAAGCAUUGAUCCAUGGAUCUCUGAAUGGGGAAACCUGGCUAAGCAAACCUUAGUCGUGCAUACAUGAAUCCAUAGUGUAUGUUCGGGAACCCGGUGAACUGAAACAUCUAAGUAGCCGGAGGAAAAGAAAACAACCGUGAUUUCGAAAGUAGCGGCGAGCGAAAUCGAAAGAGCCCAAACCGGUGUGCGUGCACACCGGGGUUCGGACUGCAGACGUGAUUGGAAGACUUCAGCAGAAUGGUCCUGGGAAGACCAGCCAGAGAGGGUGAAAGCCCCGUAAGCGAAGGAGGAAGCCACACAGCAGGAUCCAGAGUACCACGAGACACGAGAAACCUUGUGGGAAGAAGCGGGGACCACCCCGUAAGGCUAAAUACUCCUCAGUGACCGAUAGAGCAGAGUACUGUGAAGGAAAGGUGAAAAGGACCCCGGGAGGGGAGUGAAAGAGAACCUGAAACCCUGUGUUUACAAGCUGUGGAAGCACCAUACGAGUGCGACCGCGUACUUUUUGUAGAACGGUCCGGCGAGUUACGGCUUCUGGCGAGGUUAAGUCCUAAGGGACGGAGCCGAAGUGAAAGCAAGCGUUAAAAGCGCGUCAAGUCAGAGAACGUAGACCCGAAACCGGGUGAUCUAUCCAUGUCCAGGCUGAAGCCGCUGUAAAAGGUGGUGGAGGGCCGAACGCACAUCCGUUGAAAAGGGUGGCGAUGAGGUGUGGAUAGGGGAGAAAUUCCAAUCGAACCCGGAGAUAGCUGGUUCUCCUCGAAAUAGCUUUAGGGCUAGCCUCGUAUUAACCUGAUGGAGGUAGAGCACUGAAUUUCCUAGGGGGCGUCAAAGUCUACCGAAGAAUAUCAAACUCCGAAUGCCAUAGAGGUGAUGUACGGGAGUCAGACUGCACGAGAUAAGUUGGGCAGUCAAAAGGGAAAGAGCCCAGACCUGCAGCUAAGGUCCCCAAGUGCGUGUUAAGUGGAAAAGGAUGUGGGAUUUCGAAGACAACUAGGAUGUUGGCUCAGAAGCAGCCACACAUUCAAAGAGUGCGUAAUAGCUCACUAGUCGAGAGGUCCUGCGCCGAAAAUGUCCGGGGCUGAAACACGACACCGAAGCUCAGGAAUGUCGAAAGACAUUGGUAGAGGAGCAUUGUUAACGCAGCGAAGCGGUACUGAUAAGGAGCCGUGGAGCGUUAAGAAGAGAGAAUGCCGGAAUGAGUAGCGAGAUGGAGGUGGGAAUCCUCCAGGCCGAAUAUCCAAGGAUUCCGGGGUAAAGCUGAUCUGCCCCGGGUAAGUCGGGGCCUAAGGCGAGGCAGAAAUGCGUAGCCGAUGGAAAACAGGUGGAAAUUCCUGUACUGCGGUAUAACAGAACUGUGGGGACGCAUGUCCGAAGCGGGAGCCGGGAAAGGAAAGACCGGUGCAAGCACAGGAGCUGUAAGGGAGGCAAACCCCCCUUAUAAGGCAAUGGUGUGAUGCGGACUGAAAGAAAGUAGGGAAGUCCGGAGAGGAUGUGCCAAGAAAAGCCGCUAUUGUUUAUACCGUACCCGUACCGUAAACCGACACAGGUGGAUGAGGAGAGAAUCCUAAGGCCGGCGGGAGAAGCAUUGUUAAGGAACUCGGCAAAAUGACCCCGUAACUUCGGGAGAAGGGGUGCCUGGGCAACCAGGCCGCAGAGAAUAGGCUCAAGCAACUGUUUAGCAAAAACACAGGUCUAUGCGAAACCGAAAGGUGAGGUAUAUGGGCUGACGCCUGCCCGGUGCUGGAAGGUUAAGAGGAGAGGUCAGGAAACGAAGCCUUGAAUUUAAGCCCCAGUAAACGGCGGCCGUAACUAUAACGGUCCUAAGGUAGCGAAAUUCCUUGUCGGGUAAGUUCCGACCCGCACGAAAGGCGUAAUGAUUUGAGCGCUGUCUCGACAAUGCACCCGGUGAAAUUGAAGUACCAGUGAAGAUGCUGGUUACCUGCGCCAGGACGGAAAGACCCCAUGGAGCUUUACUCCAGCUUGAUACUGGGAUUCGAUGCUGUAUGUACAGGAUAGGUGGGAGACGCUGAGAUAUGGACGCCAGUCUAUAUGGAGUCGCUGUUGGGAUACCACCCUUGCAGUAUUGGAUUUCUAAC